AGGGCUCUUUAAGGAAAAUACAGAAUCAAGAAUCAGUUUUCCUCCAUCCCUCCCUCUCUCUCUCUCUUACACACACCACACAUCAACUACAGAACAGACAAAUGACGAAUUCUAAGUUGAAGUCCUUUUUCUCUGUCUUUUCCUUCUUUACCAACAACACCUCUCACAUUCAAGGAGAGUUGGAAGAAUGAAAGUUAAGGCCUGAGGGAAAAUUGCAUGUUUAGAGGAUCUUAGAGACAAGGAAGAGAGGUAAGAGUGGGUCUGAGAGGGCAAAUGAGAGGAUGAAAAAGCCAGAUGAGUAACGAGUAUCGGCAUAUCCAGAUGAUGGGGUUGAGUGAGGAUAUGGAGCUAGAAAUGUGAACCCAACGAUCAGAAAGUGUCCAAUUUCAUUCCUAUGUUCCCAAGAAAGGGGGUACGUGGUAUGUUGUCUUGGGCCUCCCUUUCCAGCUUUAUCAGAGAUCUCUACCCUUUUCUACACCCGCCUUGGGUCACAAAUAUAUGUAUCUCAGAGUAUCUUACUGGAGUUCCUGCCCAUUUAUCAAAGCUGACUAGAUCCACGUUCUACUCUCUUGGCCUUCUUCCGUGCUCACUGGAUAAACUAGGAGCGUUUGUGGAUGCCCCAUCUUAGGUCUGCAUUGUUCUGAGGAUUUCGUGAAUCAGAAUCUCUGAGAUGGGUGGAGAUGAAACGGGCUUGCCUGGUGUGAAAGAUCCAGGACAUUCAGGGCUUAUUGCUUACAGAGUGCUUUCACAAGCACUGUUCAUUGGAUGCUCACAACAGUCUUGAGAGUUGUGGGUCCUUCUGGCUGUGGCAUGUGGGACGCUGCCUCAGCGCGGCCACUGAGCGGCACCAUGUUCUCGCUGAGGACUCGAACCGGCGAAACCCCGGGCCGCCUGCAGCGGAGCCCAGGAACUUAACCACUCGGCCACAGGGCCGGCG